GGGGACCAGAAGUCAAGUUUGCAAGGGGGACGGCGAAAGCGAUGAUAUACUGCAAGGUUCGGUUUGAUUAUUUUGUAUAUAAAUUUAUUCAGAUCCCAGUCACAUACAUACAUGUAAAAUAUCAUUUUUUGGGGUGGGGGCAAAAAGAAUAGUAGGCCUGUAAAAUUCCAAUGGAAAUUGGUAGUGUGGCAGUAAACAAUGUCUAGUCCUAAAAAAACAGGCAUGUCAGGAGGGGUGAAAGAUGCAACAGUACAUUUUACAGUCUGCAUCUUUCCUGACUCUUCUUUUAAAGACGCUGGGUCCUCCACAGUCUGUAUCUUUCCCCAUUCUUUCUUUUUAUGAUGCUGGGUCCUUGCAAUUCUAUGAAAACAGCAAAGAUGCCCCCAAAGGAAUGGAAAAUUUUCUGUGCCAUGUCAAUAUCAUUGACACCAAAUUGUGGUGAGCUGAGUUUAUACACCAUUCUGGUCCUCUUGUCUGAAUCUGAAACUUGGCCACAGAAUACAAUGGGUUAGAGAUAGAGUGAGAGAGAUAAAGAAAGAUCCAAAUGGUAAAAUUCAUGGACCACCAGAGAUGUAUUGAGUCCACAACAAAGAGCAAGUUAAUCUGACCAAUUCUCAAAUCCCUAGAGAAUUCUGUUCCUCCAGGUCUCCCCAACUGUAAUCCAUUGCGGUGGGAAAUGGAAGGGGAAUGCAACAGUGAGUGGUGGUGGUGUAGGAAAUGGAAAACAAAAACAAACAAAAAAUAGUGUGUCGGAUGGAAAAGAGGGGAAUCAGACAGUGGGAGUAGAAGACAGGCUGUGAAUGUCAUUUUUCUGAUACCUUAAAAACACAAAAUGUCUUGAAAGGGGAUUGGACAGAGUACUGCGCAUUGGAUGGCAGAAAGUGAGGCCACACAGUUAUUGGAAAUUAAUUCUUUGUCUCAUACUUCUCACAAAUUCUUCACACCACCAUCAUCAUCAAUGCUUGUACCCUCCCUCCCUCCCUCCCUCCUCGCUCUUCCCUUCUUCAAUUCAUCCUGCUCUUCUCACCACUAUAUUUUUGCCAACCCAAUGGACCACUCUUCUUUGCAGAUCUGAUCUCACCUCCUUCAUUCAUACCCACUUCCACUCAAUGUGAAUGUCAAGUUGUCUCGGGUUCUGAAAGCUUUUAAUUCUCAAGUCUUGUAAAACAAUAAGUUGAAGUUCUAUGUGCACGCGUUUGAUGUGCUAUUGAAUAAUAUUCCUAUAAGUGGGAUACAACCAAUUGUACUUUUCUAAUUA